GGAGAAUAGCUCAGUGGUAAAGCACGUGCUUAGCAGGCACGAGGCCCUAGGGUUCAGUCCUUAUUACCUCCA
rnacentral:tRNA from 1 species